AACGAACGCUGGCGGCAUGCCUAACACAUGCCAGUCGAACGAGACCUUCGGGUCUAGUGGCGCACGGGUGCGUAACGCGUGGGAACCUGCCCUUAGGUUCGGAAUAACUCCCCGAAAGGGGUGCUAAUACCGGAUAAUGUCUUCGGACCAAAGAUUUAUCGCCUUUGGAUGGGCCCGCGUUGGAUUAGCUAGUUGGUAGGGUAAAAGCCUACCAAGGCGACGAUCCAUAGCUGGUCUGAGAGGAUGAGCAGCCACACUGGGACUGAGACACGGCCCAGAAUACUACGGGAGGGAGCAGUGGGGAAUAUUGGAAAAUGGGCGAAAGCCUGAUCCAGCAAUGCCGCGUGAGUGAUGAAGGCCUUAGGGUUGUAAAGCUCUUUUACCCGGGAUGAUAAUGACAGUACCGGGAGAAUAAGCACCGGCUAACUCCGUG
rnacentral:rRNA from 1 species